rnacentral:rRNA from 1 species
UACGUAGGGUGCGAGCGUUGUCCGGAAUUAUUGGGCGUAAAGAGCUCGUAGGCGGUCUGUCGCGUCGGCUGUGAAAUCCCGAGGCUCAACCUCGGGUCUGCAGUCGAUACGGGCAAACUAGAGUACUGCAGGGGAGUCUGGAAUUCCUGGUGUAGCGGUGAAAUGCGCAGAUAUCAGGAGGAACACCGGUGGCGAAGGCGGGUCUCUGGGCAGUAACUGACGCUGAGGAGCGAAAGCGUGGGGAGCAAACAGG